AAGGUUUGGGGGAAAAGAACAGCAUUCUGUUCAAAAGUCAGGUCAAAAGCUUAUCCACACAUUGAUUUCUCAAUCCAGGAUUUGUAAUAUCCAAUAAAACAAGGGCUCUUUCCCAAAUGAAGUCAUUAGCAAAUAUCUCUUUGCUCUCCUGGGAAUUCCGUUCUCUCAAACAUCUUCCUGAUUUACCACUUUGUGUUGAGGCAGGAGUUUAAUCUUUCAAAUGAGGUAUAUGGCCAUGGAAGAGGCCAGUGGUUCUGAGGGCAGAAGGGAAGGCUGGUACUAUCCUUGUGUCUGGGAGAAACAUUAAGAUCAAGAGCACAGCUAUGGGAGCCAGACUGCCUGGAUCUGAAAUUGGCUUUGCCACCAGCUAUAUUGUGAGCUGGAAUGCUCCAAGAAAUCUCAACUUGAGGAGCUGAAGAAAAGGCAGCUGGUCCUCCAGGAGGGGAAGGGGCUGGAGAGUCAGAGCCAUCCCUGCCACGUGGCGCACAGAUUCAUAACUCUGGGCAAAGGUUUCGACAAGUACUAUUUUUUUUUUUUCACUCCAAAGUCCAUCUAUGUUUAUUCCCUUGAAAUACAGAUGCUGCGUGUCUCUCUGCUCGGGUGUAAUCCCAGGAGGCUCAGCAGCAGAGGCGGGAGGAAUUCCUACAGCUCUGGAGAUAAAGACUGGCUCACAUGAGCUGCUGCUGUGCAAGGACACUCACGGGCUUUACUUAUUGCUCUCUUUUGAAACUGAUACAGUGUCUGCACCCACACAGGCAGCCUGGAAAAAAGAAACUGUGUCUUCGUGUAACUUUUACUUCAGUGGUAUAAAUGAAAAGAUCAUAACCCAAAGAUAUGGUGAAAACACAUUACUUUUCCAGACAAUCUAUUGUGUUGUUGCAACUGAAGAGUUCCACUCAGAGAAAUAGAAUAAGUUCAAACAAACAAAAAAGAAGACACAAUCUGGGAUAAAGUGUGAUAGUCUGAAACAUACAAGGAAGAAAAAGAAAAUUUGAUUCCAUAUCUGAGAUUUGGGUAUGUGAUUUGGGAGAUGAAUCAGAAUCUUCAAUGGCUAUAUUACCCUCCCCCCAGAGACCCCUCCCACGAAGAUAGGCAAUAGGGAGGUGCUCGAAUUCUUUCAGGCCCUGUGGUGUCACUGAGCAAUCUGUUUCUUAAGCAUCUCCCCUAAACAUGGCUAAAAUAACAGAUAAAACUCUUUUGGGUGUCAAACUGGGGGAUGCAGUUCAAAUGUCCAAAGUCCACGUGACAAUGCCAUCUGAGAAACAUCUGACCUGAAGCCAGUAUAAUGACACUAAACCCACUCUAGUGAGCAAUUUUGUAAAAAGCGUCAGUUUUGGAGCCCAGCCCAGAUACUAGUGAAACCCAGUGGAUUACAAUCUGACUUAACCACAAGGUCUUAGAGCAGAGUCCUGGUAUGGCGUUAACCUUUGAGUUACCUAAUCUGGGAAGGAGCCAGCUGACCUGUGAAACACCUGAAAAUGAAACGCUACUCAGUAGUCAUGGGAAAGCUUGCCUGCCUUAGAAACUCUGAUAAGAGGCCCUUGAAAACUGAAAACCACACAAACGCCCAUAAUGUUUUAGUUCUUGAGAAAUUCACUGUCUAGUGGAGAACACAGAUAAAAAAAUAACAAGCUUUAAAAAUAAUUUAAGUGCAAGACAAAGGGUAUAUCCAGGGUGCUGUCAGAACACAGGAGAGGGACACCACAUCCAGCUAGAAGGUACAGAACAGAGAAGGCUUCACUGUAUCUAGUCAUAAGACAUUCAGAGUGCAUUUGAUACAUACUGUCUUGAAGACAAUACUUGCUCUCCAAGUAAAUCAGAGUCUUCGCAGAACCAUUCCCAAGGACCUAGCUCUUCUCAUGAAAGCUGUGUGUACUUAUUCAACUGCAUCCUCAGUGAAUGGAAGAAAGAUGACAUGAAAAUCCUGCAUAGAAAAACCAUACAUAAUCAUAAAUAGAAAAUCCUAAAGAUGCUACCAGAAAACUAUGAGAGCUCAUCAAUGAAUCUGGGUAAAGUUGCAGGAUACAAAAUUAAUAUAAAGAAAUCUGUUGAAUUUCUAUAUACUAAUAAUAAAAUAUCAGAAAAAUUAAAGAAACAGACCCAUUACAUCAAAAAGAAUAAGAUACUUAGGUAUCAACCUACCUAAGGAGGGAAAGUUGUACUUGGAAAACUAUAAGACAAUGUGGAAAGACAUGGAAGAGGACACAAACAGAUGGAAAGAUAUACUGUGUUCUUGGACUGGAGAAAUUAAUAUUGUUAAAAUGACCAUACCAUGCAAGGUACUCUACAGAUUCAAUGCAAUCCCUAUUAAAAUACCAAAGGCAUUUUUCACAGAACCAGUACAAAUAAUUUCAAAAUCUCUAGGGAAACACAGAAGACCCCAAACAGCCAAAACAAUCUUGAUAAAGAACAGAGCUGGAGGAAUGAUGCUCUCUGAUGUUAGAGUAUAUUGCAAAGCUAUUGCAAUCAAAGCAGUAUGCUAUUGGCACAGACAUAGAGAUCAAUGGAAGAGGAUAGGAAUCUCAGAAAUAAACCCCUGCACUUAUCAUCAAUUAAUCUACAACAAAGGGAGCAAGGAUAUACAAUGGAGAAAGGACAGUCUCUUCAAUAAGUGGUGCUGGGAAAACUGGAUAGCCAUUUGUAAAAAGAAUGAAAUUAGAACAUUCUCUAACACUACAAACAUAAAUAAACUCAAAAUGGAUUAAAGACCUAAAUGUAAGACUGGAUAUUACAUAAUUCUUAGAGGAAAACAUAGGCAGAACACUCUAACAUAAAUUGCAGCAAUAUUUUUUUUUGGAUCUCUCUCCUAAAGCAAAAGAAACAAAAGCAAAAAUCAACAAAUGGGACCUAAUAAACUUAAAAGAUUUUGCACAGCAAAGGAAACCAUUGACAAAACGAAAAGACAACCUACUUAUUGGAAGAAGAUAUCUUCAAAUGAUAUGGCUGAUAAGGGGCUAAGAUCCAACAUCUAUAAAUAGCUCAUAAAACUCAACAUUAAAAAAAACAUUAAAAAUGGGCAGAAGAACUGGAUAGACAUUUUUACAAAAGGGAAUGCAAAUCGCCAGUGAGCACAUAAAAAAAAAAAAUCUCAGCAUAACUUAGAGAAAUGCAAGU